UACGAAGGGGGCUAGCGUUGUUCGGAUUUACUGGGCGUAAAGCGCGUGUAGGCGGGGCAUUAAGUUGGGGGUGAAAUCCCGGAGCUCAACUCCGGAACUGCCUCCAAAGCUGGUGACCUGGAGCAGGACAGAGGCAAGUGGAAUUCCGAGUGUAGAGGUGAACUUCGUAGAUAUUCGGAGGAACACCAGUGGCGAAGGCGGCUUGCUGGGUCCUUGCUGGCGCUGGGACGCGAAAGCGUGGGGAGCAAACAGG
rnacentral:rRNA from 1 species